AACGCGAAGAACCUUACCAGCCCUUGACAUCCCGGUCGCGAGUACCAGAGAUGGGGGUCCUUCGGGGCCGUUCACAGGUGGUGCAUGGCUGUCGUCAGCUCGUGUCGUGAGAUGUUGGGUUAAGUCCCGCAACGAGCGCAACCCUCGUCCAAUGUUGCCAGCGGGUAAUGCCGGGGACUCAUUGGAGACUGCCGGGGUCAACUCGGAGGAAGGUGGGGAUGACGUCAAGUCAUCAUGCCCCUUAUGUCUUGGGCUGCAAACAUGCUACAAUGGCCGGUACAAAGCGCUGCGACACCGUGAGGUGAAGCGAAUCGCAUAAAGCCGGUCUCAGUUCGGAUCGGGGUCUGCAACUCGGCCCCGUGAAGCCGGAGUCGCUAGUAAUCGCGGAUCAGCAACGCCGCGGUGAAUACGUUCCCGGGCCUUGUACACACCGACUGUAC
rnacentral:rRNA from 1 species